ACAACCAAACUCAUCCAGAGAGAGUGUCACACUAUUCAUUUCACCGUAAACCCUAGCAAAAACCUCUCCGCUCGCUCUUCACUUCUCCCUUACAAAGUCUGUAGAACAAAUGGCUUGGCGGCGCAGUGCAGGAUCCGCUGCUCGCUCUUUCGUCUCCGCCACCGCUAGAUCACCGUCUAUCCGUUCUCCUUCGACGGCGCUUCCCCGUCUCCGUCCUCCUCCAUCCUCCCGUCGCUUCACCUUUUCAUCACCUUCCAGGAAUCUAGGAGCACUUGGUUGUACACAGUCGUUCUUGCCUCUGUACAGUGUUGUGGCUUCUUCUCAACUCACAUCUCACCUAAAUGUUAAUUUGAGGGCUUUCUGCGAGUUGUCUAACGGUACCUUCCAACGCACUUGUCCGGAUCGCUAGUAGUCCUCUUUGAAUUGGAAAAGAUGGGUGAUGCACUUGGAUUUUACAGUUGCGGACAAGAGAGUACUGCUGCAUUUGUAGGUUUCUUCUCCUGUAGGUUUCCUUUCGCAUUGUGUUGGCUUAAUAGACAGAGCAAAAGGUUGUUUAGCACUGAAUAACAAACAUCUUGUUCAGUUUGAUUCUCUGAUUUACAGUUUUUUUUUCAUAUUCAGGAAGCUAAAAGCCAUUGUGCAGAGACAGUCUAUGGCUUUGCAUAAUAAAGAUGCACACUUGUUACUUUUGAUACGCACAGAAUGUAGUUUAUACAGCCUUUUGUGUUUUGUUUCAUUCGGCUCCCUUUGAGUUAUCUCCUGGUUAUAAUACAAAGAAUGUUGAGUCAUAUAUGAUACUAAAUGACGGUACUUGAAGAGACAAAAGAGUGGCAUGUCACAGUGCGUGCCUCAGUACUUUGAUGGGAUGUGAUAUCGAAAAACGUGGGGUUACCUCAGAAAUGAAACUUAGUUGUUUGUGUUACACAAUGUGUGGACUUAUUAGCUGUAGAGCUUUUCGUUUGCUUGGCACAAUUUUUUUUGUUUUAGAAAAAAUGCAUAUCAGCCAGCAUUAAUAAGUGUAUUGAUCAGAACUAAAACAAUGUUGUUCCCGACUCAUCAUUUUUUUCCAAUCUCGAACUAUAAUCAUAAGCGUAGAUCUGGAGAUUCCUCUU